CGAAAUGAUGAAUAUCCAAGAUAGGGACAACUGAUGCUUAGGCACAUGAGGUUGACCGGGAGAGUAUUUUAGUAGAUGUCUCUCUUAUCUGAAA
rnacentral:snoRNA from 1 species